rnacentral:rRNA from 1 species
GCUAAAUAGCUAGCUUAAUCAUCACAUUAAAUUAACAAUAUAAAUAAAGUAGAAAAACCUAAAAUUAUUAAUUAA